AGAGAAGUGGGGACAUUAGCCAGGUAGGGACACCACCAGCAUGCCUGAGGGGUGGCACAAACACACCACGACAUUCGGCUACCUUUGUAAUAAUGAGUCUACCUAUAGUACUUCCUCUAUCUCUUGUAAUGAACAGGGAAAUAUCUCAUACCCUACCCAAUAUGCAAAAAAAUUUAGCACAUUGUAUUGCCUUCUCUCUGGGGUCUCAUCCUUAACUAGUUUUCCCUACACAUGACACCAGGGAUGCAUUCAAGGGAGGAGGGGAGGGGAUGGGGGUAAAAUUCCCUAAAACUAUUAUACUUGGUUUAAGAUUGGAUAGAGAAAAAUUUGUGAGUGAACCGCUAAUGUUUAACACUAAUCCGUACGAUACGCUAGCCACCCCAAAAUCAGCUUCUAGAUACAGCCCUGCGUAACCCCACCUGUCCUCUCUGUUAGGAUAGCUGAAGUAGAAGUUUCAUGGGAAAAAAAAACACUCUUGUGGUCUAUCAACAAACCCAUCACUGGAUAGCUGCCUUAAGUUUUCCAUCAAAUUUAGUAAUGCUUAAGAAUGUCCCGGAUGGCAUAAUGAGUUUAGUAUAUCAUUUAUUUUGCAGUCUUGGUGCUUACUUUAGCUUACAUGAUAUUUGACAAAACUUAAUUUUUCGUGAUAAGUGAUGUAACAAGUUUGAAGACUGCAUGAUAUGAAGGUUAGAGAGGCCACGUCUGUCCUCUCACACCUACACACACACACACACACACACACACACACACGAUAUGAAGCAAGAGAAGCCUCAAGACAACUGUCCACUAAUGGCUUUGUACUCAGACCACUGAUUAACUUCUCCAUUAGCUGUGAGCCUCUUGACCAGUUACCUCUAAAGCCAGGAGCGAAAGUAACCUGCCAGUCCUUGCAACCCUUCCCAGGACCCCCUACAAGACACACUGAGCCCUGGUCCUACCCCUGCCUGGCUACCCUAAGAGAACUCCUCUGCCUGCCAGAACAAGACUUGCAGGUGGCUAGGGAUUGAGGUGGUCAUGCUCAGCAGUCAGGAUGGGCUGCUCAAACACGGCAAACAUGCAGUUAGACUACGGCUAUAGUCAAACCAAUUCAAAUAGUCCAUUUGGCCGUUCAAUUCUGCGGGUCCUUUCCUCCCCUCUGCUCUGCCACACAGGCCCAUCGCCUAUCUUUCCCUCUCAUAUGUUUCGUAUAGGUAACAUGUGAGAGGAAGGGAUAGGUGUUGGGGUAGAGCAGAGGGGAAGAAAGGACCCGCGGAAUCGAACGCCCAAACGGACUCUUUGAAAUGGUUUAACUAUAGUGAUUAAUUGGGAACUUGCUAAGGAUCAGCGAAAUGAGAAGGGUUGAGGUCUGGGUUUCAUGCAUGUAUUUUAAACAUCUUUACAUGGUGACAAACAAUAAGGAUACAGUUAAUAGGCUCUAUAAGUCUUGACUUAAAAACAUAUUAUUAUUAUUAUGAUUCACCUGGAUGACAAGUCUUCACAGCUGGCUACAGGCUUGGCUCUAGGGCCCAUAUUCCCAAACAAUUCAGGGCUUACACACCAAUAGUUACUAAGGCUUUGGUGGAGGUUAUGGCUGGGUGCUUCCAAGGGGGGUAGUGUUAUGAGCCUAGUGAUAAUAUGACAAGGAUUCAGGCUUGGCUCUAGGGCCCAUAUUCCCAAACAUUUAAGGGCUUACACAUCCACAUUUGCUGAGGCUUUGGUGGAGGUUAUGGCUGGGUGCUUCCAAGGGGGGUAGUGUUAUGAGCCUGGUGAUAGUAUGGCAAGUCUUCUGCUGCACCAUGAACGUGAAAAACACUCAUGAGAACCCGACUAACCUCCUGUUUGGCCCUGGCAAAUAGUUGUUGUGAGAGCCAGAAGGGUCUGAGAAUACAGGCCUGUGUGUCAUAACUUUAUGGUUCUCCAGGAUAUACCUUUUCCAUAUAGAAGGGAAGGAGAGAGUCAAGAGUGGUUGGUACAGGGGCUAUUACACUGGGCAAAUUUUCCGUGGAUCUUCAGUCAAACCACGAUUUCCGCUAGCGUGUUUCUCAUUUGUUUCUUGUUAUUGCUGCUGCUGAUGAUAGUGAGUAAUACCGUCGUCCUUCGGUGAAAUCUACCGUAGCUUUGGAAGAUCGUGGACACGCCAAAAAAACACGGAAAUAUGAGAACCACGCUUGCGGAAAUCGUGGUUUGACUGAAGAUCCAUGGAAAAUUUGCCCAGUGUAAGAGUCACCUGCUGAUGCUACUUGCUAGAGCUACACACACCUACAGGAAGUCAACCACAAAACCGGCUCAUUGGGGUGAUCUUUUUUACUUUCCACCAAACACUUUUCUGCAUUUUAUAAGGAAGUUGCAUUUUUUUAAUUGUAUGUGAGAGGUGUUUUCUUUUUAUUGUAUGUGAAUUGUGUCUUGUACUGAUGUUCUGAGUAGAUAUGCAACAUGAUGCAGAGAGAAAAUGUGUGUAGUAUAUGUGAUUCUCUCUCUCUCUCUCUCUCUCAAACAUAUAUGUCUAUCUAUCGGUAUCUACCUAUCAAUUUAUCUCUAUCUAUAUUGAAAUAGGUAAAGCUAUACAUAUAUUGGGUACAGUUUUCUACACAUUCAAUUUCUUCCCCACAGCCUCGUCCUCCCACCCACCAACACUGUUUUUGAGGGACCCUGCCAGCAAGCCUACACACACACACACACACACACCUUCACAUUCUUAACAAUUCUUGUCAGAAUUAAUUGCUUUGUUGCAGGUAUGGCUUUUUUUUUAGGUUCUAGACUGGACUGUCCUUUUUCCUCAUGGGUAAAGAGAUCAAGUCAAAGAGAUGUGAAUUAUGUGUCAGUCUCUUACAUGAAUCAGCCUCAAUAUCUGCAGCAUACACUAGGAUUGACUAUUCAAAGACAAGUUUGACGAUCACUUUCUUCACCUUAAUAUUCACUAAAGUAGAAAUGCAAAGUCUUGGUGGCCAUAUGGCAUUGUAAUUUCACUAACAACAGACCACCUAGUCUGGGUCAUAGGGUUUGUGUGGUCAGAAAAUCCAUCUAUGCAAAUCAUCAUCAGUAUGGCAUGCCAGCCUUGAUGCAGGAGCUCAGAGCAAAUCUACUUUGGCACAUGGCAGUUCAGUGAUGUUCCAGGAAGCCACAGAGGGUCUUCCUGAUAAAUGCAUCAGCCUUGCUCUCAGACCUCAGCUUUAUAUUAGUUCCUGAGCUUGGCAACCCUGGUCUGCUCUCUUAUGAAGGUGGUGGCUGAGUGGUCAGAAUGCAAGCGCAGCGUUCUGAAGGACCCGGGUUCCAGUCCUGCCCGUGACUACAAGUUGACAAUAUUCAGUCAUCACCGAGUGGCCUAAAAGUACCCACAUGCUGUCCUGAUAACUGCCUUUUAACCCAGACUCCAGCAAAACUCCAAAGAGGAUCAAGUGAAGCUCCAGGUGGUAGAAUGAGUCACACAUGAUGGCACCACUAGAAAACACUUCCCUGUGCCACUAACAAGCUGAGGUAGACCAGCAGGCCCCAUCAAGAAACCCUACUGGUGAUAUGGGCCGAACAAAAACAAACAAAAAUUAAAAUAAAAGGUGCCCUUACAGUCCUUCCCACCAAACAGCUGCUGAGGCCAAGGUGUAAAUGCAUGGCCUUGUGGACACACUGAUCACUCUCUUUUAUCAUGAAGUCACUUGGCCUCCAGGGAUUAAUGUCCUAAAUAUUUGUUUCUUUGUCCUGCAGAGUGACACCAAUGACAUGUACGAUACCCCAAGAUAAACUCUGCUGUCAGAGGUCUUCCAAUAGAAAGAAAGUACAUACAUGCUGAGGUAAACUUUAUCCUCCCCAAACACACGAGUGUAACAAUGCCUCAGCCACCCAAACCGAAACACUUGGAGUGAUUUUUAACCCCUUGACUGUGGAUUUCCUACAAGAAGACAUUACCCAGCUACAGGAAUGGAACAAAAAGUGGUUGCUACAAUUCAAUGCAGAAAAAUGUAAAGUCAUGAACCUUCGGAGGAGAAGUCCAGUAUACCAAUAUCACAUGGGAAACACUCCACUAUCUACCACAGAGGCACAGACUAUAUGUUACCAGGCUACCAGUGAAGGCUGAAUCCGUUCCAAUCGCAGCGGACGGGUUAAACUCUUUCAAAAAGGAAGAAGCAUCUAACUAUAUUCAAUCAAUGCCUCUUUUCUUUCCUCUCUUUAUGGAUCAGCAAGCUGCAAAUUUUAUUUCAUUUUCCUUCCUUUUAAACCGUCUCAUGUUCCAUUAAAAAAAAAUAUACAUCCCAGCCUAUGCCUCUCAAUGACACAUAUUCAUUACAACUACUACUUGCAAUCACAACGAAGGGGUAGAUACUCCUGCUCUCAACUAACUGUCUGUAUAUUGAUAAGACAUAGUUAACUUAUAAGGGAUCUAGGCUCAAACUGCCUCUUUGCUUACUGUGAUUUCUUCAAUGAUUUUAAGUCAUCAUGGAUUAGUAUGGUGUGAAAAUGAAACACUGCUGAGUAAUUGCUUUUUGGCACCCCACAGUGUACUCCUCCCAGCCCUCACAGCCUAAAAGGAGACCACGAUAACCUCCGUUAGAUGCACAGUCCAUCAGUUAAGUUAAAAAUGCAGAGACCACAUUGUAACCUUAUCUCUCCUACUGGUCCUGCACUAUGCUACCAAGGGUUGUGAAAUUUUCCAAGCCUUCAAUGUUCACUUUAGCCUAUUCCAGCAAAUACCUGGCCUAGGCUUUAAUCCUGACCUGGCUAGUCAGUGAGCAACCCACCCAGCUGUUCAUCCUCCAUUUAGGGCUGGUCAAUAAAUGGGUGCCUGGGGAAGGUUAAUGGUGGUGAACCAAAUGACUUGAAAUUACUUUGAACUUGCUAACUGCAUGCCUCCCUCCUCCUUCGGCACCACUACACACGACUUUCUACUCAAACUCAUCCCUAUACUGUCCAAAUCCCUUAUGCAAGAGUUAACCAGCAUCUUCACUCUUUCAUCCCUCAUGCUGGUAAACUUAUGAACAAUCUUCCUUCAUAUGUAUUUCCUCCUGCCUACGACUUAAACUCUUUCAAGAGGAGCAUAUCAGGACACCUCUCCUCCGGAAAUUGACCUCUCUUUUGGCCACUCCUCUUAACUCUUUUUAUAGGAGCAGUGAUUGGCAGACCUAUUUAUUUUUAUUUUUUGCCCUUGAGGUGUUUACUGUAAAAAAAUAAAUAAAUAAAAUAAAUCACACCAACCCUGUGUCCCAGGGCUGUUUCGUGACACAGGAUCAAGGGCCAAUGUGACAGAGAUGAGCACUGAGGCCACGUGCAGCUAUAAAGCAUGCCCCAAACUUUCCAAGGACUAUGCAAGAGUCAAGCUAUAUAGUCAUGGCUCUUUUUUUGUUGCUACUGAACUAGAUUUUUAAAUUGCAUAAUCAAGAAAUGUCUUCAUUCUUUUAAAUGUGCUUCUCUCUCUCUCUCUCUCUCUCUCUCUCACACACAUACACACAAACAGAAUACAGCCGUCCCUCAAAUAGUGCGGUUUCCAAUCGUUUGGUUUCGGUUUUAUACGGAUUGUCAUAGAUCUUUUAGGAUUUUUAAAUUUCUUGCUCAUCGGGAAAUUCAAAAAUCCUAAAAAAUCUUAGAAAAUCCACAUAAAACCAAGACCGAACUAUUGGAAACCGUACUAUUUGAGGGACAACUGUAUGGUCUAAAUCCUCCCCCAUAUUCCAUAAUUUGAUGGAACUGACCUCCAAACAACUGUACAUUCUCAGAGGACAUGUACAAGUAGUAAUCUAUUAUCUGCAGAAAAGUAUUAUGCACGUAUGAAAGACAGAAUUUGUCACGCAAAGUGUGUUUCAUAAGACCAAUGAAGCCAUGUAUCUAUUUAUCUGUGAGCCACGUCCUGCUGUGUCUGUAUCCGUGUCAGUGUAAAACGGAACAUGUGGGAGAAGGCUGAGAAGCAUCCAUGGACCCCACCACAAGAAAGGCUAAGGCCCUGUUCACACUGUGACGACUUUGUGCCACAACAACCCAGCGAGCUUUAGGCCCCCUUCACACUGCCAAAUUAGCAUCUGGUGAUCGUUUCUAGAGCUCUUUCCGACCAUGUGUGACUCUUUCACAUCAACAUUUCACACCCGAGACCUCACAUGCCCCGAGUCGCUGUGUUCUCAUGGCCCAGAGUCGGCAAAAUGUGAAUGGGGCUUAAGGUAUCAACACUUCCUCCCUUGAUCACUGCCAUGCCUCACAGACUUAGGAUCAAUGUCACCAGUUUCUCAUACUUGGCGCAUUGUUUUUGCCGAUUUCUGACCAAAAACUAUCGCACCUACAAAGAUCACGAUAUGCAUUUAUAAUUAUUGUUAAAAUUAGUAAUUAUUGAUCCUCUUUUUUUCAAUAUUUAUGGGCCAGAAACUGGAAAAUACAAUGUUAUGCGUACAAUAAUCAGGUAACAUUGCUUAGGAUGACAUAGCUACAGACACAGUCAAAUGGAUGUCUUGUCUGAUUUUACUUCCAAGGCUCUAUUUCAUGUUGUGUUAGCUUUCCAGACUGUCCCUAAGAUGUCAGUGUGUUAAGGUGAGGGAGGGAGUUACCUAAGCAGCUACACCUUGCCUGUUAGCACUAAUUCAUCUAUCAAACUCUACUUCACUCAAUCAUUCAUUAGUAGAAACAUCACUCAGUACCUUUUCAAUCUGUCCCUAAGAUGCCAGUGUGUUAAGGUGACAGGAUGAGCACAUAUACCUUCUUUGUUAUCAAUAAGAGACAGAAUGCUGCACUAGGUCAUCUAUUAGACUCUACUUGACUCACUCAUUCACUAGUAGAAACAUCACUCACUACAGGAAACCACUGAGAGAAAAGUGUGUGUGUGUGUGUGUGUGUGUGUGUGUGUGUUGUAGUAUACAGGUCCAGAGCUAUACUCAUCUGGGCCUGUUGCUGUGUCAAAAACCAUCCACUCUCUCAACUAACACACAUUCUUUACUAUUAUAAUUUCUUUUUCUUCCAGUCCAUUAAAAGCAUCUAUAUUUCUCUGGGGAUAACUUUACUGUGUCUGUGUGUGUGUGUGUGAAACCAGCUGAACCGUAGUGGGCAUCUCUCAGGCCUGUUCAUAAGCUUGGAACAUGUACGCAAGUCUGACUAUCAACCAUCCAAUGGGUAGUUUGGGGUAGACUUCUUAUGCAGGGUGCCAAAGGGAGGUGGGGAGGGUCUGUGGUGUGCAUAGUGAAGUGCCACUAAUUUUGGCAGAAUGGCUUGACAGCACUAACUAAAGAUUUCUAUCCCCAUGCCUGGAGAACAAUGAUGGGAAGGUGUAGUUUUUAGCAGACUUUCCUGAGCCUUCAGAGACCUGCAGUGUGUAUUAGCCAAGCUAUGCAUAAAGGACCUGUGAAGGGGUGUGGCAGGCCUUUGGUGUUGGAGGACUCGAGUGUUGUAGUAAGGAAA